UACGUAGGUGGCAAGCGUUAUCCGGAAUUAUUGGGCGUAAAGCGCGCGCAGGUGGUUUCUUAAGUCUGAUGUGAAAGCCCACGGCUCAACCGUGGAGGGUCAUUGGAAACUGGGAGACUUGAGUGCAGAAGAGGAAAGUGGAAUUCCAUGUGUAGCGGUGAAAUGCGUAGAGAUAUGGAGGAACACCGGUGGCGAAGGCGGCAUCCUGGACCAACACUGACACUGAGGAGCGAAAGCCAGGGGAGCAAACGGG
rnacentral:rRNA from 1 species